rnacentral:rRNA from 1 species
AAAAUCAAAGGAAUUGGCGGGGACCCUCACAAGCCUCGGAGUAAAUGGUAUAAUUCGAAGCAACGCGAAGAACCUUACCAGGUCUUGACAUCCCUUUGACCGGUGCAGACAUGUGCCUUUCCUUCGGGACAGAGGAGACAGGUGGUGCAUGGUUGUUGUCAGCUGGCGUCGUGAGAUGUUGGGUUAAGUCCCGCAACGAGCGCAACCCUUGAUGGUAGUUGCCAGCAUUUAGUUGGGCACUCUAGGAUGACUGCCGGUGACAAACCGGAGGAAGGUGGGGAUGACGUCAAAUCAUCAUGCCCCUUAUGACCUGGGCUACACACGUACUACAAUGGCCGGUACAACGGGCAGGGAAGGAGCGAUCUGGAGCGAAUCCCAAAAAGCCGGUCUCAGUUCGGAUUGCAGGCUGCAACUCGCCUGCAUGAAGUCGGAAUUGUUAGUAAUCGCGGAUCAGCAUGCCGCGGUGAAUACGUUCCCGGGUCUUGUACACACCGCCCGUCACACCACGAGAGUUUACAACACCCGAAGUCGGUGGGGUAACC